ACUACGUGUGGCAGCAGUGAGGAAUAUUGGUCAAUGGACGGAAGUCUGAACCAGCCAUGCCGCGUGCAGGAAGACGGCUCUAUGAGUUGUAAACUGCUUUUGUACAAGGGUAAACCUGAAUACGUGUAUUCAGCUGAAAGUACUGUACGAAUAAGGAUCGGCUAAAUCCGUGCCAGCAGCCGAGGGAAUACGGAGGAUCGAAGCGUUAUCCGGAUUUAUUGGGUUUAAAGGGUGUGUAGGCGGAUUGAUAAGUUAGAGGUGAAAUGUCCGAGCUUAACUCGGGAACUGCCUCUAAUACGGUUGAUCUAGAGAGUAGAUGCGGUAGGCGGAAUGUAUGGUGUAGCGGUGAAAUGCUUAGAGAUCAUACAGAACACCGAUUGCGAAGGCAGCUUACCAAUCUAUAUCUGACGUUGAGGCACGAAAGCGUGGGGAGCAAACAGGAUUAGAUACCCUUGUAGUC
rnacentral:rRNA from 1 species